rnacentral:lncRNA from 1 species
GCCUUCUUCGCCGAUCCGGAAGUUGCGGUGCCUUUCCUCUUGUGGGCCUUGAGACCCCUGGCUAGCAUCCGAGCUACGUCUGCGUCCAUAUCUGCAAUUGAAAAAAGAUCGGUACAGCUUAGAAACAGAACAAGAGAAAAGGGGAAGCAGCGAAUGACUUAAAAAAAAAAGAAGAGAAAAAAAAUAAAAUACCGACAGAGUUGAGAGGGCUUAGGCCGAUGUUAAAUAAGAGUUGCUCCUUCAGAAGGUCAGAGAGGAGAGGAGCUAGAUAAGCCUUAAGUUUAUUGAAGGCUUCAAGAU